GAAUGCUGACAUAAGUAACGAUAAAGCGGGUGAAAAGCCCGCUCGCCGGAAGACCAAGGGUUCCUGUCCAACGUUAAUCGGGGCAGGGUGAGUCGACCCCUAAGGCGAGGCCGAAAGGCGUAGUCGAUGGGAAACGGGUUAAUAUUCCCGUACUUGGUGUUACUGCGAAGGGGGGACGGAGAAGGCUAUGUUGGCCGGGCGACGGUUGUCCCGGUUUAAGCGUGUAGGUGUGUGUUCCAGGUAAAUCCGGUUCACUUUAACAC
rnacentral:rRNA from 3 species